rnacentral:rRNA from 1 species
UACGUAGGCAGCAAGCGUUGUUCGGAGUUACUGGGCGUAAAGAGUGCGUAGGCGGUCCUGUAAGUUUGGUGUGAAAUCUCCCGGCUCAACUGGGAGGGUGCGCCGAAUACUGAAUGACUUGGAGUGCGGGAGAGGAAAGUGGAAUUCCAGGUGUAGCGGUGAAAUGCGUAGAUAUCUGGAGGAACACCGGUGGCGAAGGCGGCAUCCUGGACCAAUACUGACACUGAGGAGCGAAAGCCAGGGGAGCAAACGGG